rnacentral:rRNA from 1 species
AGCGGCGGACGGGUUAGUAACGCGUGGGAACGUACCCUUUUCUACGGAAUAGCCUCGGGAAACUGAGAGUAAUACCGUAUAAGCCCUUCGGGGGAAAGAUUUAUCGGGAAAGGAUCGGCCCGCGUUAGAUUAGAUAGUUGGUGGGGUAAUGGCCUACCAAGUCUACGAUCUAUAGCUGGUUUUAGAGGAUGAUCAGCAACACUGGGACUGAGACACGGCCCAGACUCCUACGGGAGGCAGCAGUGGGGAAUCUUAGACAAUGGGCGCAAGCCUGAUCUAGCCAUGCCGCGUGUGUGAUGAAGGCCUUAGGGUCGUAAAGCACUUUCGCCAGGGAUGAUAAUGACAGUACCUGGUAAAGAAACCCCGGCUAACUCCGUGCCAGCAGCCGCGGUAAUACGGAGGGGGUUAGCGUUGUUCGGAAUUACUGGGCGUAAAGCGUACGUAGGCGGAUCAGAAAGUAGGGGGUGAAAUCCCGAGGCUCAACCUCGGAACUGCCUCCUAAACUCCUGGUCUUGAGUUCGAGAGAGGUGAGUGGAAUUCCAAGUGUAGAGGUGAAAUUCGUAGAUAUUUGGAGGAACACCAGUGGCGAAGGCGGCUCACUGGCUCGAUACUGACGCUGAGGUACGAAGUGUGGGGAGCAAACAGGAUUAGAUACCCUGGUAGUCACACGU